GACGAACGCUGGCGGCGUGCCUAAUACAUGCAAGUCGAACGGAGUGGCGAACGGGUGAGUAAUGUAUCGGAACGUGCCCAGUCGCGGGGGAUAACUACGCGAAAGCGUAGCUAAUACCGCAUACUAUUGGAGCGGCCGAUGGCGGAUUAGCUAGUUGGUGGGGUAACGGCUCACCAAGGCGAAGAUCCGUAGCUGGUUUGAGGGGACGACCAGCCACACUGGGACUGAGACACGGCCCAGACUCCUACGGGAGGCAGCAGUGGGGAAUAUUGCACAAUGGGCGCAAGCCUGAUGCAGCCAUGCCGCGUGUAUGAAGAAGGCCUUCGGGUUGUAAAGUACUUUCAGCGAGGAGGCGUUACUCGCAGAAGAAGCACCGGCUAACUCCGUGCCAGCCGCCGCGGUAAUUC
rnacentral:rRNA from 1 species